rnacentral:rRNA from 1 species
CCCUUAGAUGUCCUGGGCCGCACGCGCGUUACACUGAUGCAUUCAACGAGCUUAUAACCUUGGCCGAGAGGCCUGGGCAAUCUUGUUAACGUGCAUCGUGAUAGGGAUAGAUUAUUGAAAUUAUUAAUCUUGAACGAGGAAUUCCUAGUAAACGCAGAUCAUCAAUCUGCAUUGAUUACGUCCCUGCCCUUUGUACACACCGCCCGUCGCACCUACCGAUUGGAUGUGCUGGUGAAAUGUUCGGAUCGGCCGUUUGUCGCGGUUUCCGCGUCAUGUGGCUGAGAAGUUCAUUAAACCCUCCCACCUAGAGGAAGGAGAAGUCGUAACA